AUUGAACGCUGGCGGCAGGCCUAACACAUGCAAGUCGAACGAGUGGCGGACGGGUGAGUAAUGUCUGGGACACUGCCUGAUGGAGGGGGAUAACUACUGGACACGGUAGCUAAUACCGCAUACCCUCGGAUGUGCCCAGAUGGGAUUAGCUAGUAGGUGGGGUAAAGGCUCACCUAGGCGACGAACCCUAGCUGGUCUGAGAGGAUGACCAGCCACACUGGAACAGAGACACGGUCCAGACGCCGACGGGAGGCAGCAGUGGGGAAUAUUGCACAAUGGGCGCAAGCCUGAUGCAGCCAUGCCGCGUGUAUGAAGAAGGCCUUCGGGUUGUAAAGGACUUUCAGCGAGGAGGCGGUACCCGCAGAAGAAGCACCGGCUAACUCCGUGCCAGCAGCCGCGGUAAUAC
rnacentral:rRNA from 1 species